rnacentral:rRNA from 1 species
AUUGAACGCUGGCGGCAGGCCUAACACAUGCAAGUCGAACGGUAACACGGAGCAGCUUUCUUCUUCGCGGACGAGUGGCGGACGGGUGAGUAGUGUCUGGGAAGCUGCCUGUUUUCGGGGGAGAACUACUGGGAACGGUAGCUAUUACCGCAUAUACGCGCUACACCAAAAAGGGGGACCUCCUGGCACCUUGCCCGAGUGUGUGCCCCGAUGGCGGAUUAGCUUGGUUGGGGGGUAGAGGCUCACCAAGGCGAAGAUCCCUAGCUGGUCUGAGAGGAUGACCAGCCACACUGGAACUGAGACACGGUCCAGACUCCUACGGGAGGCAGCAGUGGGGAAUAUUGCACAAUGGGCGCAAGCCUGAUGCAGCCAUGCCGCGUGUAUGAAGAAGGCCUUCGGGUUGUAAAGUACUUUCGGCGGGAAGGAAGGGAGUAAAGUUAAUACCUCUGUUCAUUGACGUUACCCACAGAAGAAGCACCGGCUAACUUCGUG